CCCUUAGACACUCUAGGCGGCACGCGCGCUACAAUGGGUGGAAGAACGUGUUACUGCCUCCGAAAGGAGGGGUGAAUCACGAAUUCUUGCCAGUGAAUGGGAUAGUUUGUUGCAAUUUUCGGACUUGAACUAGGAAUCCCUUGUAAACAUGCUCAAGAAUAGCGUGUUGAAUACGUCCCUGCCGUUUGUACACACCGCCCGUCGUUUCUUCCGACUGAUACUCAUUGUGAGUUGCAAGGACCCUUUAUUGGGAAAUUGCUGCAAAUGCUUUGUAUUGGAGGAAGAAAAAGUCGUAACA
rnacentral:rRNA from 1 species